ensembl:snRNA U6 U6 spliceosomal RNA
GUGCUUGCUUUGGCAGCACAUAUGCUAAAGUUGGAACGAUACAGAGAAGGUUAGUAUGGUCCCUACUCAAGGAUGACAUGCAAAUUCGUGAAGCGUUCUCUAUUUUU